UCACUUUUUGAGGAAAAAAAGAAAACGUCCAGUGAGAAGUUUGCGAGAAGUAGCGCUUUUGGCGAAGGUUUAUGAUCGCGUAAGCGCGCUCGCUAAUAAGAUUACCGAACAAUUCGUUCAACUGUCGUGGGCACGGCUGCCUCUGGCAUUUUUGCGGCAAGUUUUGCAGCAAGAAGAAAAAACGGUCAACCGAGCAGGUGAAGCAGACGGAGAGCGAGAAGGAGAGGGAGAGACCAAGUGGAAACUUUUCCAUCACUGGCCGAACAAAUCAGAGUUCAACGACACGAAAAGACAUCACUGAUACUCUCACGAGGAGAAAGAAAUUCUGUAAAUCUCGGCGUUAUUCUCACGAGUUAUUGUUUCGAACGUAUCCUCUCUCGACCUCUCGUUCCGACACGGCGGCUGCAUCUCCGACGAAACGCCGACUUCCUCCUCGCUUAAACGCGGGAACAUCGAUAUCCGAGGGGGAUUUCGAGUUUCGAGUCCGCACGUUCCCCAUUGGGUUGCUACUUCCGGCCUCGGUCAGCCAGACCGGAACACGCCGGGGCUCUCGGGUACACCGUGACGUCAGAGUAUCGUCAAAAAUUAGGGAGAAACCGAUCUGCAGGGGUCCCGCACCAGGAUGUAGUUAAUACCGCGACUUUAGCUCGCACCGAAGACGAUUACCAGCCCGGUUAUCAUUUUCCACGCUUAUGAACGGCAUAAUGGGAGACACGCUCACGAGGCAUGCGCUAAAACUCGAGUACAACGGAGCAUACGUUGAAGAAACGCGUCGAAGCACACAAUCGCCUCCGAGUGCGCGUUCAAUGUUUCUUUCAAAUCGAUCCUCUGGUUCUCAGCGAUCGUGACCGAUCGGCUCUCGGAGGAAAACGCCUUGUGAAAGGAUAUUCAACAGCUGACACUCCGGCGGGGAGAAAGUAAGAGAGCGAAAGACAUCGGACGAAACGGACGAACGAAGAAGUCGCGAAGAAUAAGGCACGAAAACAAGGUUCGAAGCUCUACCCUUUAGCCAGCGGCGCGAGCACCUGGCAGCAUAUGCGUCAGGUUAAAAUGGAAGAGGACAAGCGUCCUCUCUCGUUCCGUGAAUUCUUUGCACGCUCGGGAGCGGCCGAAAAGUGCGGAAUCAGAAAAUGCGCGUGCGCGCGGCUUUCUUCGCGCGUCGAAAUUAACGGGAGCGCGCCGUGUGUCGACGCGGAUGGCUCGGUCAGCUGUUACUUGUGAUUCAUGCCGAGCACGUAUCAUCGGCGGACGACGAACGUCUACGAACGUUACGGGGUCCCUGCUUCACGCUCUUGCGUUCAGCUUCUUCUCGUCGAUCGCGAGUAGGAGCCUCUUAACCUCUUAACUGCUAAUGACGGAAAUAUCCGCGGAAAGGAAAGUGGGCCAAACUGUUAACCAGUUUUUUACUGCUAAAGGCCAUUACACACAAACGAACUUAAGCAGCAAGACGUGCAAGCAGUAAGCAAAUCGAUCGAUCACAAUCGAAAUUUAAGGAUGCCAUUUUAAAACUUACGAGAAUAAUUGAUUGUGAUUGGUCAGUUUCUUUACUGCUUAAGUUCAUUUGUGUGUGAUGGCCUUAAUGACUCAAAUGUGAGCACCAUGAAUAGCACCAAUCUGCUACGGAUUUACAUUGAACUUGAUACGUCCACGCUUUUUGGGUCGCCGACUGUGAAUCCGGAAUCAAAUUUAGGAAAUUUAUAACGAACCCAAUAUGGCAGCGAUGGAUUCUGUCCUCUCGUUCAGUUGGGGAGUAAAUUUUCCCACGUUCUAUGAAGGGUCUAGCUCUCGUUUUUCAAGAAAUUUUGUUAUAAACUAUGUAUAAAACAAUACAUGAAUAUUCAGAACUGACUUUAAAGAAAAUUUGUCCCUGGGAUCCGUAAUGAAUGAUUCGAAAAAUAUUAUACUAGUUUUGAGUGCAUACCCAAAAUGAAAUAACAAAGUUUGAAUGUCUUGAACCAAUCCGUUAUCUGCGACCAAAAAACAUGCCGAGUUUGAUACGUAUCCGUAAUAAAGUAUCAAAGUAGCUACUUGGAGCUGCCAUAUUGAAUUUUGAAUUCCGUCACUUACAGCUAAAAAGUUAAACAGUUUGCGCGUUUGCUCCAACUUUUCCGAGGAGCUUCGCAGGUGAAUUUGCUUUAAUAAGUAACUUUAAUGGUAGAAGUCAUCAUUUC